GAUGAACGCUGGCGGCGUGCCUAAUACAUGCAAGUCGAACGCUUUGUGGUUCAACUGAUUUGAAGAGCUUGCUCAGAUAUGACGAUGGACAUUGCAAAGAGUGGCGAACGGGUGAGUAACACGUGGGAAACCUACCUCUUAGCAGGGGAUAACAUUUGGAAACAGAUGCUAAUACCGUAUAACAAUGACAACCGCAUGGUUGUUAUUUAAAAGAUGGUUCUGCUAUCACUAAGAGAUGGUCCCGCGGUGCAUUAGCUAGUUGGUAAGGUAAUGGCUUACCAAGGCGAUGAUGCAUAGCCGAGUUGAGAGACUGAUCGGCCACAAUGGGACUGAGACACGGCCCAUACUCCUACGGGAGGCAGCAGUAGGGAAUCUUCCACAAUGGGCGAAAGCCUGAUGGAGCAACGCCGCGUGUGUGAUGAAGGGUUUCGGCUCGUAAAACACUGUUGUAAGAGAAGAAUGACAUUGAGAGUAACUGUUCAAUGUGUGACGGUAUCUUACCAGAAAGGAACGGCUAAAUACGUGCCAGCAGCCGCGGUAAUACGUAUGUUCCAAGCGUUAUCCGGAUUUAUUGGGCGUAAAGCGAGCGCAGACGGUUAUUUAAGUCUGAAGUGAAAGCCCUCAGCUCAACUGAGGAAUUGCUUUGGAAACUGGAUGACUUGAGUGCAGUAGAGGAAAGUGGAACUCCAUGUGUAGCGGUGAAAUGCGUAGAUAUAUGGAAGAACACCAGUGGCGAAGGCGGCUUUCUGGACUGUAACUGACGUUGAGGCUCGAAAGUGUGGAUAGCAAACAGGAUUAGAUACCCUGGUAGUCCACACCGUAAACGAUGAGUGCUAGGUGUUUGAGGGUUUCCGCCCUUAAGUGCCGCAGCUAACGCAUUAAGCACUCCGCCUGGGGAGUACGACCGCAAGGUUGAAACUCAAAGGAAUUGACGGGGACCCGCACAAGCGGUGGAGCAUGUGGUUUAAUUCGAAGCAACGCGAAGAACCUUACCAGGUCUUGACAUCCCUUGACAACUCCAGAGAUGGAGCGUUCCCUUCGGGGACAAGGUGACAGGUGGUGCAUGGUUGUCGUCAGCUCGUGUCGUGAGAUGUUGGGUUAAGUCCCGCAACGAGCGCAACCCUUAUUACUAGUUGCCAGCAUUCAGUUGGGCACUCUAGUGAGACUGCCGGUGACAAACCGGAGGAAGGUGGGGAUGACGUCAAAUCAUCAUGCCCCUUAUGACCUGGGCUACACACGUGCUACAAUGGCGUAUACAACGAGUUGCCAACCCGCGAGGGUGAGCUAAUCUCUUAAAGUACGUCUCAGUUCGGAUUGUAGGCUGCAACUCGCCUACAUGAAGUCGGAAUCGCUAGUAAUCGCGGAUCAGCACGCCGCGGUGAAUACGUUCCCGGGUCUUGUACACACCGCCCGUCACACCAUGAGAGUUUGUAACACCCAAAGCCGGUGGGGUAACCUUCGGGAGCCAGCCGUCUAAGGUGGGACAGAUGAUUAGGGUG
rnacentral:rRNA from 1 species